CCGGCCGCUCCCUGCCCCCGGCAGCGCGUUAUUCCGAGGCGGGCGGCGGGUCCGGUGGGAAGGGGCGAGGGGGGCGGCGGGGCGGUUGCCAGGGGCGUUCGGGGGAAUCCGCUAUUUCCCUUCCCCUGUGCUCCCCGCUCGCCCCCGGUCCCUCCCUCGGGCACAGGGGACGCGGAGCGGGUGGAUCGGGGGUGGCGCGGGGUACUCGGUGUCCGGCGGCGAACGGUCCCGGCGCUUUGGUACCACCGAAGAAAGAUGCUCUCUAUGAAUAGAGAGAGUGCCUAUUUACUCUGAAAUACUUGGCACAGCGAGUGGAGUGUGAAGCAUGGAAGAAGUGGCUAUUAUUUUCCCACCGCCUGUGUGUGCAGCUGUCAUUUCUGAGCAACAUGUUCCUCGCACAUCCCUGCUUCCCAACCUUGCUGAUGGUCCGCCCCAGGAUUACAACAAGAAGAGAAUGGCAUGCCGCUGCACUCAGCCAAAACCUUAACACUGUGGUUUGUAUUUGACUGAACCCAAGACCUAAGCAUUGUGGCUUGGAUUAAGUCAUUGCAGAUAACUGCUAUGAUGCUUGUUGGUUUUUUUUUUAGCCAGGAGGAUGGCUCUUCCCCUGCCUGCUGUGUAUUAUUUGAAUAUUCAGUGAUGUCAUGUUGUUUGACCUCCGCUUAACGCAAGGAAUGCCAAUGUUUUGGCUUUUGACCUGUGGAAGUAUGUUAGUGUUUAGUAAGAGAGACCAGCUUAAUGCAUCACAUUAAGCAAUCUGAAAUCUGGUAGUUACCUUAAGAGAUCUCAUCUUUUGUAUGUAGGCUUUCCCCCACUACCAUUCCCCCUCGCCCCCCACUUCUUCCCAUCCCUCCAUAUCUAGGCAUGCUUCCAUGCUAUGAUGCAGCAAUAUGUAUGCACAGGAUUCAUGAGGGGAAAAGAAGGUCUUCUAUGUAAUGCCCCAGUAGAACUAUUGUACUGUAAAACUGUUACUUAUAUUCUGCCGGCAUUGUACUGUGUCUGGAAAAGUCAUUUGGAUGUAAUUUCUUCUACUUGAAAUUCUCCAUUAAAAGAAAUGAGAUUGGCUCUGAAAGAAAAAAUAAAUCCCAGAGGAAUAGUUAUGGUGAAUAAUGUAUGUUCCCAAAAUCAUGAGGUCUCCUAAAAUCUGUAUUUACUUGAAGGACUCCAGUGGCCUCAGUGCUGGGUAAAUAGUAUGUGUACCAAACUAUGUAUGACAUGCAUACCAAAAUGCAAAUGUAACCAGGUAAACAGAAUGCCUUUUUUAAAUGCCUAAAUAAGGUAGGAGAACAUCAGAGAGAGAGAGAGAGGCUCUAGACAUGUUUUAUAACUUUCCAUGUAAGAGGUUUUUUCAGAGAUACAAUUUUAUUAAACAAAACCUAAGAAUCUUACUGACAGAAAAAGUAUGUUUAAAAGUAACAAAUUACCAGAAAGCCAGGAAAUCCAAAAUUAAAGGAUAAAUCUGUCCUAAGUCCUCCCACUGCAGGCCAAGUACAGCAAGCCCCAUACAGUUGCUGCCCUGAGAAAAACUACUUGAAUAGGUGUUUGAAUUCAGAACUAAUUCUGGUCUUGCACCACUGUGGAUCAGGCAUUAGCCCACUAAAUUAGAAGUUGUGCCAGCACACGCAGGGGGGUAAGAAUCAGAGUCCAUGGGAGUGCCUUUUGGUCAUCUUGGUUUCUGUGUUGUUAGAUGUGUCACAAUGGGUACCUCAUUUAUGUGUGUGUAUUUACUCACGGGGGCGAAGGGAACCUGGAAGCAAAGGCAGUUCUUUCAGACUCCAGUCAGUCUUCAGCUUAUCCUUUCUGAUGACAAUCCCAGAAUCCUCAAGGUUGGAAGAGACCUUCAAGAUCAUUUAGUCCAACUGGCAAUGUGACACCACCAUAAUCACCCCUAAACUAUAUCCCCGGAUACCACAUCCAGGUGUCUCUUGAGAAGGCCACAGGUUGGAGAAGUACAUCUUGGCAUUGAUGCAUAAAAUGAUUAAAAUGCACUAAUUUUGACUUCCAUGCAGGUAUUUAUAUAGCACAUGCUUUUAAGAUAGUAUAUUUUUUCUGCUGAAACUAGGAAUUCACUAUACCGGCCUUGCAGACUUGUUUACACAGCUAUAUAUGGUAUGUGUGUGUCUACAUCAGCUUCAGUUGGUGAAGUCUUGUAAAAUGUACAGGUGUGGAUUACUACAUUCCUCUCUUGUGUUUUUCCUUCUUUUUUUUUUCCUGCUUCCCCCCAAAAAGUCACUUGAUCAGGUAUCAGACAUAGUGAAAACCUGGCAAGACUACAGGAAAGUGGCUAGACUUGGAGUGUUUGUGUACUUAAAGAAAGAAUCUUGCACAUUUUCAACUUUCAGUCACAGAUUUUUUUUAUAAGAGCAAUUGGAGGUCUGAGCCAGGCCUCAAAGCGGAAAUCAAAAGCUCCCAGAGAAACAUACCCGAGGAAUGUGAAUCUGAUCCAACAACCAUACGCAAUGCACAUACAGUACUGUCAGUCUUAUAGGAAGUCUUGCCAUAUAUGGACAUCUGGACCCUGAGCUGUUUAUCAUCACGAUAGGCUUGUAGCUGGCCUCAGACAUUUCUGUCUUGCCUCAGGUUUAGUGUGCCAAUUAGUUCCUUUCCCAAAACGCUCACCAGGAUAUUGCUUUAAAAUUGUAAUAAAUAUAUCUCAAAAUUCUGAGAGGUCUGGUUAAAGUUACGUUAGUAGGCUUUUGCUUAAAAUGCAGAUUCCAAGAAAGACUUACUCUGCUAGCUCAGAAAUAGACACAGAAUAAAAAUAAAGAGAUUUAUUCCAUCGUUAA